UUUCGCAAUGCCCGAAAGGGUGACGAAGCGACGCCGCGUGUGGGAAGAAGGCCUUCGGGUUGUAAACCACUGUCGGGAGUUAAGAAAUGUAAGGGUGCUAAUAGUAUCCUUACUUGACUAAGGCUCCGGAGGAAGCCACGGCUAACUCUGUGCCAGCAGCCGCGGUAAUACAGAGGCGGCAAGCGUUGUUCGGAAUUAUUGGGCGUAAAGAGCACGUAGGCGGCCUUGUAAGUCAGUUGUGAAAGCCUUCUGCUUAACGGAAGAACAGCAUCUGAUACUGCAAGGCUAGAGUGCGGAAGGGGAGAGUGGAACUUCUGGUGGAGCGGUGAAAUGCGUAGAUAUCAGAAGGAACACCGGCGGCGAAGGCGACUCUCUGGUCCGUAACUGACGCUGAGUGUGCGAAAGCUAGGGGAGCAAACGGGAUUAGAUACCCUGGUAGUCCUAGCCGUAAACGAUGGGCACUAAGUAGAGGGGUUUUA
rnacentral:rRNA from 1 species